GCUCUCCUUUUCAGGGAACAGGGCUUGAGAAGCAAGGACUUAAAAGAUGGGUAGGACUUAAAAAGGGCACUUCAGUUGCAAUUGAAGGUCUAUCUGCUGGAACACUGGCCAUUCCACAGGACAGGUGACCACAAGAUCACUUUACAGCUUGGGAAUCGUACCAGACCACGUGGUCUCCAGCUCUCCAGAUCCAGCCACACUCACGGCCAACUGCUGCUUUAAAGUGUCCCUUCUUAUUUCUGUGGGUAUGUUACUGGGUCUUUCGGGUCACUCACCCACUAGACCACCUCCCCCUCCAGAGGGGUCCCCUGCCCCCCUAGAAAUUUGGUGGCUUGACAGUGCAGUGUGCUUUUUAGACAACUAGUUAAAACAGGAACAAGAACCCCCACAAGACACCCAUCUUCUGACUACUCAUGGAUAGAGAAGUUCAGCUUAUGCACAAAAGAAUCACACCAAUGAAGUUUUUCAACCUUUAUUAAUAUGUCAUCUAUUUUUAAAAAUAGUGAGACUGCUCCAAACAACAGAUGCAUGAGAGAUACCUGAAAAUUAAAAGGGCAAAGUAAUUACACUAGAUUCCUGUGAAAAUACAAACACAAACCAGUUUAGGACAAAUUCAAUCAAGAGGUAUAGUAUAGUUUGAAGCUACUUCCACUUCCCCUAACUUCAUCUGAAGAAAAAGGAGGAAAACGGAAAGGCAGAAGUAAAAGUCAAGCAAAGACGCCGCAGGGAUUUGAACCCUGUCCUGGAAGCCAGGAGUGCCAACCACCAGCAUCUUUUGCUUUUUUUUUUAAAGCUAGGUAAAGGCCAAAAAGCAAAACCUGAGAAAACAAAGUAUUUUGUUUUCUCAGGAAAAGAAAAACCUUUAAAUUUUAAGACCCUACUGAAGAGCACUGGAGAAUCUGCUUCAGCUAAGAUGCUAGCUUGGCCAAGUCUGUUAUGUUCACCUGAAAAAGUCUUAGCAGAGAGUUUUUGCAUUCCCACCCAACAGCCCUCAACUGCUAAAAUGCCUAUCUCCUUCAGUUUGUUUUCAGCACUGGACAGAAAUAAUGCUACACAUUUAAAACAUCUGAGAGCUUUUUAG
rnacentral:lncRNA from 9 species